CAACCCCCAAAAUCACCCUAAUACAGCCUCUGAGAACAGGCUUGGUUUUGGGGCUGAAGUGGAUCGCUGACUUUGCUAGGUUGACUCGCUAGCCUGAUGCAGCACAGUAGUCCUCCAAGAUGCCCUUGAUUAUUGUGGCACUCUAUUUCGUAGCUCGAGCAAGAAGCAUACAAUCAUUCACAAAAAGGAGAUGAGAGAUCGGAUCAGCUAUCGGGGCAGGCCUAUAGGCCUCAAUGACCUAUGUUCGAGAAGCGGCCCGAAGGGCUCGGGACAAGGCAUCAACGCAAAUAAUGAAUAGGUAGGACGAGAGGGGGCAACCUUGUCGAAGACCAAUAGUAGGGUUAAAGGAGCAGGUAUGCCAUUCAUCAGGAUGGCGAAAGAUGGUGUCUAAACACAACCCAUGAUACACUAGAUCAAAUCCUCAUGAAAUCGAAAGCUCUCUAGGGAAUAGGAAAGAAAGCACUAACUUAUCUGGUCGUAAGUCCUCUCCAUAUCCAGUCUUGACAGCUAUGAGACUCUAUCGACACGAGGCUCUCUGCAGAUCAUGCAUGAACUCUUGAGCGAUAAGGAUGUUGUCGGAGAUGCUGCAGUCACCAACAAAAGCUUUCUGCUCAGGGCUAAUAAGACUAUGAAGAAUUCCUCUUAAGUCUGGAGACCAUGAUCUUCGCAGUGGCCUUGUAUAGGGUAGAACAAUGACUAAUAGGCCUGUAGUGGCAUGGCUCGGAGCAUCCUGCCUUUGGGAAUCAAGAUAAUGAAUGUCUUCUUCCAUUCCCUCGGCAUCAAUGCCAUGCCAAAGAAUUGCUGGAUAGAAGCCACCACCUCAUGCUAGAUAAUUUCUCAGCACCUUUUGAAGAAGAGAGGGGGAACCCAUCGGGGCUCGACGCUUUCUCCUCCGCCAAUGAUCAAAAUGCCUCCUGGAUGUCAGCAGUAACCAUCAUGAUGAGAGCCCUAUCCUCAGCCUUUUAAACUCUUGCCUCUGGUACAGGGCUGAAAGCAGGAUUUCCACCCUCAAACUGUAAUAGCUCCUGACUAAUGGCCUCGCAUCCUCUGUCAUCACUCCACUACUAUCCUUGAGGCUCUAAAUCCUAUUUCUUUUCCUUCUAAUCAUAGUCGACCGAUGGAAGAAUUAGUGUUCCGAUCGCCCUCCAAAAUCCACUGCACUCUGGACUUCUACCUCCAAAAGGUGUCCUGUUGGCGUAGGAGAGAAUGAUGCACAAGCAACUUUGAUCUUAGCUCUGAUGAUCCUCCAUAGAUAGACCCCCAUUCCGCUCUU
rnacentral:lncRNA from 1 species